AAAAGUCAAUUUUCUCUGUUGACCGGGUACCGACUGAAUCAAUCGCAAACAAGAAAAAAAAUUAAUUUUUAAAUUUAAAAUAGCGACCGAAUCGGUCGCAGACGUGGCACGUCAGAUCUAUUUUUAACUUUCCGACUGAAUCGGUCAUAAAUUCUUUUAUUAUUUCCCCCAAACCUGAUUUUCUUCACAUUUUUCAUUCCCACCAAACCUUCUCUCCCUUCUCUAACAUAUUCUUCUUCCUUCCCUUUGGCGAUUGUGGCGAUUCCAACCGGCGGCAGCUUUCGGCCGGUGACAGCGGAAUAUUCCGGCGGCGACAGCAACAUUGAGCUAGGACAAGUAUCAUAUUGAUCUUGAUGCAUGGUGACAAACUCCCCCUGAAGGAAUUCAGCCGGCCCCGGAGGAUAUGACUGCAAUUUGGACACAAGCGACAGGUGGCAUGAAUAAAGUUCGAGUCUAUGGGAUUGGAGUACAAUCCCCAAGAAGAAGUGGAAGUUAUGCGUCAUAGAAUGGAUCAAAUGUCGCAAGAAUGGGACGCAACUCAGGCUCUGAUCCAAAAAUUAUUUAAAAAGAAAAGCAAGAAAAGCAGUCAAGCUGCAAUGGAGUCUGAGUCUGAGGAGGACACUAAGUCUGACUAGGAUUAGCUAUUUGAAUGUUUUAGAGUUGAAGUUAGAGACAUGUUUAAUUUAUGAAUUUGAGUUAGUAUUUUGAUAAUUGGUUGAUCAAAAUUACUGUUGUUUGAUUAGUUGGUUGGAUUGUUAUAAAUAUUACUGUUCGUUUUA